CGGUAACACAUCGGAACAUGUCCAUUCGUGGGGGAUAGCCCGGCGAAAGCCGGAUUAAUACCGCAUGAGCCGAGGAGGGAAGUGGGGGACUCGAAAGGGCCUCACGCGGAUGGGUUGGCCGAUGUCCGAUUAGCUAGUUGGCGGGGUAAGAGCCCACCAAGGCGAUGAUCGGUAGCUGGUCUGAGAGGAUGAUCAGCCACACUGGGACUGAGACACGGCCCAG
rnacentral:rRNA from 1 species